rnacentral:rRNA from 1 species
AGAGUUUGAUUCUGGCUCAGAACGAACGCUGGCGGCAGGCUUAACACAUGCAAGUCGAGCGCCUCGCAAGGGGAGCGGCAGACGGGUGAGUAACACGUGGGAACAUACCCUCCGGUUCGGAAUAACUCAGGGAAACUUGAGCUAAUACCGGAUACGGUCGAGAGGCGAAAGAUUUAUCGCCGGAGGAUUGGCCCGCGUCCGAUUAGCUAGUUGGCGAGGUAACGGCUCACCAAGGCGACGAUCGGUAGCUGGUCUGAGAGGAUGAUCAGCCACAUUGGGACUGAGACACGGCCCAAACUCCUACGGGAGGCAGCAGUGGGGAAUAUUGGACAAUGGGCGCAAGCCUGAUCCAGCCAUGCCGCGUGAGUGAUGACGGCCUUAGGGUUGUAAAGCUCUUUCGCACGCGACGAUAAUGACGGUAGCGUGAGAAGAAGCCCCGGCUAACUUCGUGCCAGCAGCCGCGGUAAUACGAAGGGGGCUAGCGUUGUUCGGAAUUACUGGGCGUAAAGCGCGUGUAGGCGGGCUUUUAAGUCAGGGGUGAAAUGCCGAGGCUCAACCUCGGAACUGCCUUUGAUACUGGAAGUCUUGAGUCC